CCAGGCGCGUGCGGCGCGAUGCGGGUCCUGGCGGCUUAGCGCGGGGGGCAGCGAGCGGCACGCGGGCGCAAGGAGCAGGGCGGCACGCGGAUGGUCUAGGCGCGGCGCCGUCCGGCUGCUUGCCCUGGCUGCUCGCGCGCCGUGACGGCGAGUCGUCCCGGUUUUCCCCUCUACGGUAAUACCUCCCACCACUCCACCCCCCCCCCUUCGCACCCGGUGGCGCACAAGCGGUUUUCUUUCCCCCAGCUCGCGAUCCGUUUCCCGACGCCGUCGGCCCCAGGUCAGUGCUGCCGCCGCUGUUGCCGUCGACCGCUGGCCCGAGUUGCGACCCGAUCCACGUAAUGAGCGGGAAGCCAUCCAUUGGCUCGCCAUUGUCCGUUCAGAGCUCCGCGAGGUCGCUCCGCUCUCGUCGUCGUCGCCCCAGGUCAGUACCUGUCGCAGUGCCGCCGCUGCCGUUGCCGUUGACCGCCGGCUGGAGUCCUGCGACCUGAUCCACCUAACGCAUGGGACCCACCCAUCGGCCCCUGCCUUCCGCUCCGCUGAAGCUUCAUCAGCAUGGCGCCGACUGGCUCAAAAGGCAAGAUUCACUGCGGCAGCUCGGCUCGUCAUCGUCACCAGAAGCUGUCGAUUUCUUCCGAGGUAAUAGCUCUUUUUAAUUCCCGUGUGUACAAGAAGGAACAUCAAUAUCAAGCAGGUCGAACAGCACAGAUGGGUGAGGACAGAUCCCUCAGCUCCAUGCUAAGGUCUCUUCCUCAUCGUGUGUUUUUCAUUGGAGGCAAUAGUGAGAUCUAUGAACUGCUCAUUCCCCUUCCCCUGUUCUUUCCUGCAAUACAUCGGUCUCACAUUGACCAAGAUUGAACAACUAUCCGUAUCCUCUACAAAUCAAAGAUCUUGUGCACUAAAUUGCUCAAUUCCUCCGAUUCACCCUCUGUCCUCGAAUCCCCACAACCACAUAUCCAUUUUUCUUCAUAUCAAUCUUUUCUGAAUCGAAUUAGUUUGCUUCUUUUUCUAGGCACGGCACCUAGUCAUUUAAGUAUUCAUGGAUUAAUUGAGUUGUUCAUAACUUAAUUUCGGGUUUGCAAUUUUGUUCAGGCUGUAAAAUUUGGUGAAAUCUUUUGUGACCACAUGGGUUACGUUGGAAAGAAAAUUCAGAUCCCAUGUAUAUAGUAAGAUUUAACACCAUAUCGGUUUUGUUUCCUCAAUUGUUUCCAUUGUCAGUGAGAUUCAUUUCUUCAUGGAGAUGAUUAUGCAGUGGCUUUGUUGCUGCUGGCUGCUUAUAAUUAAAUCGGCUGCCACUCGGUGCUUUGCCUUCCACUAUGAUUUUUUACUUGAUACAUGAUGGCAAACAAUCAGCCAUGAAUCCCCCAACCUCUGCUUACUCUGAAUCAAGCACAGCCUCUGAAGCGCUCUCUGAACAUGUGUGUCAGGAUCAGCGACGAUGGCCACACGAGUGUUGGACGGCCACACGGCAGCUUGGUGUUCCCUCACUGGAGCUGCACAUUUCUACAGAUGAGUCUUCACUGAUGUCGGUGCCCCUCUUUUCUCAAGUUCAUUUGUUUUCCCCUGCUGUUGCUAGAUUGCCCUUGUUUUUUUUUGAUAGGUAGAUUGCCCUUGUUGGUGGCGAUGAUUUGUGAUAAUGGUUUAGAGGUAGGACAAAGAAGUCAAGUAACUGUUGGUGCUGGCUGCUGUUGUCUUCUCUGAUGGAGGCACAGAAAAGCUUGAUUCCUAAUUGAAGGCGCUAAUCAUUUCUUCUCAAUAGCUAUUGUAUUAUAAUCCUCCCAUAGUAAUCCAGCCCAACCCUCCAUUUGUUAGCUUGAAUCAGCGUUAUAAGUAUAGAUUGCUGACAAUUCCACCAUGAUUUUGUAUUCAUUACUCAUUUGACGGUAGCGAUGUUUUUGCAUCUGUGCAUCAUCCCAAGAUGGUGUAUUUAGUUCUCUACUCCCUCCAUCGUGAAGGUCAGCAAUGAGAGCAAAAACGCGAUGUAUGUGUACUCAAAAGGGACUUCAUUUCCUGAAUUUCAUUCUCUGAAAGGCUCCAUUGAAUCCGUAGUGUCCCUCUCUUGUGGAUUCAAAUGAGACGUGCACCAUGCUCCUCUCAUCUGUAUUCAGGAUUGUUAGAUCUUUAUAUGAUUCUGAUUAUAGAACUAAACAAAAAAAAUACAUCGACGGAGGCACAGAAAAGCAUGAGUUAGAUGUGGGUUAAUUUGCAUUUCAGAAUUAAUUCGUAACCUCAAAAGAAAUCGUUCCUUUUAGACAAGGGUAUGCAGUAUGCAAUUAACUGAUAGAGUGUACUCACAAAAGAUAGGGUGAACUUCAAUCUGGUUCUGUCAGAUUUCAGAGCAUAUUGACAGUGUGUAAUACUAUCUAGAGUCCAGGUUUCUUCCUUGUUUGGCCCAUGAAAUUUGGAAUAACUUUUUGCAUGUUGCCUUGUUUUCGACUGUCAAUUACGUUAGAUAAUAUGUAUAUGUAAUCCAAAAGAAAGGUGUACAAUUAUCAGCCUAUUAGCUCCUCCUUAGGCAAAAAUAGUUUGUGCUGAUUAAUAAAAUAAAUUUGUAACUUAAUUAGGCCUGUGCAACACGCAAUCAACUGAACAACCAGGUGCAAGUGUGUUUUAGCAUAUGAAUAUGUAUGAUCAGGUCAUGCUGUUGGUCAUUGAAGGUGACAUUUCGCUGAACUCUGUUCUGCCUACUAUGAUAGCUCAAGCUCGGCUAUUUGAACCUGAGUCCAUACUUUAGUCAACUGAUCAUAUUAGUUCUAAUAGUUAAUCUUGGCUUAUAUGCAUUCUGUAAAUUCUGAAGUACAUUAAAUUGGUACGGAUUCAUAUUAGGUUCAAGAAGGUUCUCCUAAAUUAGUUCUACAUUUGUUUGCUAGAUUAAAUAGAGGUUUUUACAUUCACAAGAGUCAUUAUUUGUGACAUGGAAAAUAAAUGAUAUAUUCCAACGGUGCACAAUAUUAUUGAACAACUAUCCAUAUGCAUGCUUAUGUAUUCUGAAAUUUCAGUAUACAAUUAUGCAUGCCACUUUACUUGCUGCAAGACCAUUUAUAUAUUGCUGCGAUGCCUGUCUUUGAAUGUGGACAUCAUAGUAUCUUGUCAAUUCCUGCUGAUUUGGACUGAAUAAUUUAUUGACAAAUUCAUAAGUCUGCAGCCAGUUCGUGCACCUGACUAUAUCAUGUCUAUGGGGUUGUUGCAAUACAAUUCCAACCUAUUGUUACUUGAUAAUAGUUUUGCUCUUAUGUAGUGUGUAUAGGCUGUCUUUAACCUGCAUAUACUAAUAAUUCUUAGCUCUUAUACAGAUUGCAGUAUGCCUGCUGGGAAUUAUACUUUUUGCAUCAAAUGUUUCCUGCUGAACUGUUCUCUUGUGGGAAUUAUACCUUCCUAACUGAUUACUAGUUCAAGUCACACAGUUAAGGUUGGAUUAGAUUGUCGACCCCAUUGCUUUGCUAACUGUACCAGUGUUUGGUGACUUUUAUUUGUGUAUCACUAGAUGAACUCCUGUUCAGAAUUCAGAUAUGCAUCUUGUUUUUGUUCAGAGAUGUAAACGUUCAAAUAGUGUAUGCUUCUUAGUUGUUACUGCAAGAUAUGCACUCACCCGAACGAUGCUGAUCUGAUUUACCAGUCCAAUUUUGGUGUUACGUGAAGACUUGGAUUAGUUUGAUUGCCUGAUAGGAGUUAAUAUAUUUGGAUCAGUAUACUUUCUUAAUUAUUGCAGAUGUUCUAAAGCAUUGGCCCCUCUAUACAUUGUGGUUUGUUCUAUCUGAAAUGCUUAUGGUAUGCCCCAUUGGCUUCAUGUUUGAUCCCUAACGUUGGGUGUUACUGUCUCUGCAGCGAUGAAGGAGCCGGUCCUGCUACUUUCGUGCAGAGCCCAUUCUGACUGAAGCUAGUGAUUUUCUUAAAAAUGUUCAUUCAAAUGCUUUUUUCAGGAAGUCAACCUAUAAAAAUGAUGGCAGCAUAUUCAAGCGUCCCCCCCCCCCUUUAUUUUCAGGAUCUGAGAUGGGCACAGUGAUCUCCAUUGACCAUGUCAUCUUUGAUUGGGGCCCAUCAUCACCAUUAGGUGUUCAGGGACAGUUCCCCUUGUUCAUCAGUUGAUGGAUUUUUUGCUGGAGCAUCUAUUGUACAGUAGAUAGAUUCCGAGUUUCAUGUGAGGAUUGCAUAGUUAGAGCUUUUGUGUAUAGGUUCUUACGAAAAUGUAAGUUCUGAGUGGCACAUAAUAGAAAUAUGACACCCAUCUUCUGCGUUUAUGAUAUUUAUGAACCGGCUCAGAAAAAAUGUGUGGUGUUUGCAAGGUAAUGAGGUUUUGCAUCGACAUAUUUUAGUACA